rnacentral:rRNA from 1 species
UGGGGAAUAUUGGACAAUGGGCGCAAGCCUGAUCCAGCCAUGCCGCGUGAACGAUGAAGGCCUUAGGGUUGUAAAGUUCUUUUGUCAGGGAAGAUAAUGACGGUACCUGAAGAAUAAGCACCGGCUAACUUCGUGCCAGCAGCCGCGGUAAUACGAAGGGUGCUAGCGUUGUUCGGAAUCACUGGGCGUAAAGCGCGCGUAGGCGGCUUAACAAGUCAGAGGUGAAAGCCUGGAGCUCAACUCCAGAACUGCCUUUGAAACUGUUAAGCUUGAGUGUCGGAGGGGAUAGCGGAAUUUCUAAUGUAGAGGUGAAAUUCGUAGAUAUUAGAAGGAACACCGGUGGCGAAGGCGGCUAUCUGGACGACAACUGACGCUGAGGCGCGAAAGCGUGGGGAUCAAACAGGAUUAGAUACCCGUGUAGUCCCUGAGCGGGCUGGCAAGGCGCAU